rnacentral:sRNA from 1 species
UUCCUUUGCCGCCACCACCACUUCCCAUCCCAGCUAGAGAGACAGCUCCGCGCAGUAAGUGCGGACUGCCAGCCACCAGCCUCGGCAGCCAGCCCGUCGCCUCCAGCCCCGACCCCGACAGGGUCUCACUCUGUUGCCCAGGCUAGAGUAUGGUGGUGCAAUUAUGGCUUACUGCAAACUUGACCUAGCAGGGCUCAACUGAUCCUCCCACCUCAGCCUCCGGAGUAGCUGGAACUACAGGCAUGCGCCACCACACCUGGCUAAUUUUUGUAUUUUUUUUUGUAGAGACAGGUUUUGCCAUGUUGCCCAGGCUGAUCUCAAACUCCUAGGCUCAAGCAGUCAUCUGCCUUGGCCUCCCAGAGUGCUGGCAUGAGCCACUGUGUCUGGCCUACUAUUUGGACUUUUAAGGUGAUUUUCUCCUCUUUAGGCAAGGAACAUCGAGCCUUUCAUAGCAUAAGACCAAAAACAAACCA